rnacentral:rRNA from 1 species
AGCUUCAGUAGCGUAUAUUAAAGUUGUUGCAGUUAAAAAGCUCGUAGUCGCAUUUCUGGCGAGAGGAUCCGGUCCGACCUUUUGGUGGGUUCUUGGGUCUCUUUCGCCAUCCUUGAGUGGUCCGUUCUGGCAUUAGGUUGUCGGAGCGUCAGCCGCUCAUCGUUUACUGUGAGAAAAUUAGAGUGUUCAAAGCAGGCUUAUGCCGUUGAAUAUAUUAGCAUGGAAUAAUAAGAUAGGACCUCGGUACGAUUUUGUUGGUUUGCGCACCAAGGUAAUGAUGAACAGGGACAGUUGGGGGUAUUUGUAUUUCGUUGUCAGAGGUGAAAUUCUUAGAUUUACGAAAGACAAACUACUGCGAAAGCAUUUACCAAGGAUGUUGUCA